ACAAUCUAUGAAAAUGUUCAUGUAUGUCAAGUAAAUAUUUUAGGAACUUUCUAUACACAACCUAUAGAAAGUGUUCAUGUAAAACAAGCUAGGGAAAGUUAUGAAAAAAAACUGGUGAACAAAUAUUCCAUGUAUACAACUUUUUUGAAAUAUAUUUCACCAUUGAUAAAUUAUGUUCAUGUAUUUAAGAAAAUGGUCCUAACUUGUUGAAAUGUUCCAUAUUCUAAGAAAAAAACAUGAUAAACUGUCGUCAAUUGAUGAACAAAGAAGCUAUUGCCAUAAGUUUCUAUGCAAUGACAUGAUUGUAUUAUGCAUUGGUAAAAUACAUGUGAAGUGCAAAAGAAAAUUAAAAAAAUCAAGGAAAGUGGAAAAAAUAUUUAAAAUGAAAUGUAAAAAAAUGAAUGAAAAGGGGGGAAAAGAGAUGUGUGGGCUGGCCCUGAUAGGGAAGAGGGUGCGACGACUCCUAAGCCCGGCUAAAUUUUGCAAGAGAGGGAUGCAUGAGGCACCAUCACUAGGCAAGCUUGAUGUGGUUGCUUAGCAAGUCUUCAUGGCAAACCGAUUGGUCUCUCUUGGCUCUAGUGCCCGCUUUUGCCCCAGUAGGUGGGGA
rnacentral:lncRNA from 1 species